AGCCCGGUCCCAGGCUAGGUUCAGCCGGCAGUGAGAGGGGAGGGCAGGGCUGGGGGGAGGCGUCUGGCCCAGGCUAAGCCACUGUGCAUUAACCCCGGAGCAGUUAUGACAUAUCUCGAAUACCCAAGCGCAAUCCUCCACCCCCUGCCGCUGCCCGGGUACCGCUCCCGCCCCGCGCCCAGACGGACGGACAGACACACGGCUCAGCAUGUCCGACAGCCCCAGCCCAGGAGGGGCCCCCGAAGAGGGGGUCCCCGAUGAACCCCAGGGGCAGCCCCCCUGCGCUGAGCUCAAAGCAGCUGUGGAGAAAUGCGUGCGUGAGAACGGGGAGGAGUCGUGCAAGGAGCUGAUGGAAUCAUAUCACGAGUGUCUCCGUGCCCUGGGCAUCAAGGUCUAGCAGCCCCCCACCCCACCCCACGGCGCUGGCGUGGUCACUGGGUGCAGCGUCACCCAGGGGAGCCCAGCUGUGAGAGCGAAGAGCCGCCGAGACACGCGAGCAGCCGUGGAGGGGCCAGCUGCUCUGGAUUCGGGGGGCAGGGUAAUAAACGGGCAGCUUUUUACCUGG